ACCAGAGUGGAGGCUUGAAUGGCUUCCAUAAGGCUCAUAUAUUUGAGUGUCGGUCUUUGCAGCUGUAAUACCACCUUUGAUAUUACUACCAAGGUGGGUCACUGUGAUGGUUUGAAUAUUCUUGGCCAGGAAGUGGCAGUAUUAGGAGGUUUUGUUGGUAUAGUUGUGGCCUUGUUGGAGGAAGUGUGUCACUGUGGGAGUGGGCAAUGAGGCCCUGCUCCGAGCUGCCUGGACACAGUCUGCUCCUGGCUUCCUUUGGAUGAAGAUGCGGAACUUCUCCAGCACCAUGCCAGCCUGGACACCUCCAUGCUGCCCACCAUGAUGAUAAUAGACUGAACCUAAGAACCCAUAAGCCAGCCCCAACUAAAUGUUGUGUUUUGUAAGAGUUGCCUUGGUUAUGGUGUCUCUUCACAGCAAUGGAAACCCUAACUAAGACACUGUACUACUGGAUGUGACAAGCAAGAAUGCUAGGUGUUAUAGAGGCUGAACAUACCUGCCCAGUGUACUGAUUCAUUUUUGUGUGUCGACUUGACACAAGCUGGAGUUAUCACAGAGAAAGGAGCCUCCCUUGAGGAAAUGCCUCCAUGAGAUCCAGCUACCUCCCUUAGAUAAAGUCUUCUUAUCAUCUCGGUCUCCAGGAGGUACCACUGGACAUAGAAAGCAAAUGGAGAGACAUGGCAAGGAGAAAGGAUGUCAGUACUGAAGCUACUGCUAAGAGCCAAGAAAGGGGCUGGAAAGAGGACUCAGCUGUCAAGAACACUUGCUUCCUUCCAGACAACUCAGGUUCAACUCCCAGAAUCUUCGUAGGGGCUCACAACUGUGUGAACCUCCAGUCCCAGGGGGGAAUCUGAAACCUCUUCUGGUCUGUGCAAGCACCAGGCACAAAAGUGGUACACAGAUACACACAGAAGCUAAACACCCAUACACAUAAAAUAAAAAUGUAAAAAGGAUGAA
rnacentral:lncRNA from 1 species